rnacentral:misc_RNA from 1 species
CUAACCGACGCUUCAAAGAUAGCCAUCUUGAAUGCAAACUAUAUGAUGAAGCGCUUGGAGAACCAUUAUCCUGUUCUCUUCCGUGGUGUUAACGGAACUGUAGCCCAUGAGUUCAUCAUUGACUUGAGGGGGUUCAAGACCACUGCUGGGAUAGAGCCCGAAGAUGUUGCCAAGCGUCUGAUUGAUUAUGGAUUCCACGGACCGACCAUGUCAUGGCCUGUUCCAGGCACUCUUAUGAUUGAGCCCACCGAAAGUGAAAGCAAAGCAGAG